AUGAACAUCCGUCACAUCCCAAAUCGUGGAUCCCCUUUCUAGGUCGUUGACCGGUUUUCGAGCCUAAUCCAAUGGCCAAUGUGUAACAAAACCCAGAUCGUGUGAUGAAUUAUGCAUCAUCAAUCACCGAUUUAACGCACCCGUAGUUGUUUUUGAAGAUCAGCGAAGAAAUUCAAGGGUCACUAUCAUGUUGAUCUCAAUCAAGAGGUAGCCAGCCUUCAAGAGGCUAUGAUGGGAAACCAGUGGAAGUAACUUUCAAAAUUGACACCUCUUUCUAAUGCCUACCGCUGCACCAUACUUUGAAGGUUAUGAAUGAAAAAUUCUUAUUUGUCAUGGAUUUUAGUGUAGUCUGAUCUAUUUUUAGCUGUUGCAUCAAAAAAUUAACCGAUGAUAAAAACGCUUUUAACUCUACUUAAAAGUCAGAAGCCCACGGUGGGCGCUUUUUUCGUUUUCUUUUUCCGAACAUGGUUCGUUGGAUUCAGGGUCAUACAGGAUCUAAAUGUUCAGCAGCGGUCAACAUUUUUUUGUUCUUGUGAUUGUUGGUUUUAUUCUCUGGGCAAAUGAAGUUUGAUUACUCCUAAGCCUUAACCGUCUUACGCAUGUUGUGUCUUGAUGACCAUGUUAUAAAAUUCUGCAAACACCAAUGUUCGAAGUUACUUGUAUCUAAAUUUUUAAAACCACUAAAACAUUUGGCCAAAGCCUAAAGACUAUUGCCACCAAAAGCUAGAACGGAUGGGCAAUGUCUCAAGAAAAAUCAACUCCACCCUCCUGGGACAGAACCGGUCGGACCUAAACCGGACACAAUGUUACGCGCCAACCGGAUUUGAUGGAUGGUGGUUAACCAUUUCUCUGAAUUAUUUUUGCAUGUUAUUGGGUUUGAACUUGGGAUUUCUAAUACACAAACAGUGGCGGACUUAAAAUUCAUUUUAUGGGAGGCAAAAAUUUGUAAGGGUUAUUUGUUUAUCAUUAUACAAUACAUUUUUUUCACUGCCGGAUU
rnacentral:lncRNA from 1 species